rnacentral:rRNA from 1 species
GACCUCGGAUCAGGUAGGGAUACCCGCUGAACUUAAGCAUAUCAAUAAGCGGAGGAAAAGAAACCAACAGGGAUUGCCUCAGUAACGGCGAGUGAAGCGGCAAGAGCUCAAAUUUGAAAGCUGGCUCCUUCGGGGUCCGCAUUGUAAUUUGCAGAGGAUGCUUCGGGAGCGGCCCCCAUCUAAGUGCCCUGGAACGGGCCGUCAUAGAGGGUGAAAAUCCCGUCUGGGAUGG